rnacentral:rRNA from 1 species
CAGUAGCCGCGGGAAUACGUAGGUGGCAAGCGUUGUCCGGAAUUAUUGGGCGUAAAGGGCUCGCAGGCGGUUUCUUAAGUCUGAUGUGAAAGCCCCCGGCUCAACCGGGGAGGGUCAUUGGAAACUGGGAAACUUGAGUGCAGAAGAGGAGAGUGGAAUUCCACGUGUAGCGGUGAAAUGCGUAGAGAUGUGGAGGAACACCAGUGGCGAAGGCGACUCUCUGGUCUGUAACUGACGCUGAGGAGCGAAAGCGUGGGGAGCGAACAGGAUUAGAGACCCUGUAGUCCCUGUCUCUUAUACA